rnacentral:rRNA from 1 species
AGUGGCGGACGGGUGAGUAACGCGUGAGAAUCUGCCUUGGGGUCGGGGACAACCACUGGAAACGGUGGCUAAUACCGGAUAAGCCGAUUGGUGAAAGAUUUAUUGCCCGAAGAGGAGCUCGCGUCUGAUUAGCUAGUUGGUGAGGUAAGAGCUCACCAAGGCAGCGAUCAGUAGCUGGUCUGAGAGGACGAUCAGCCACACUGGGACUGAGACACGGCCCAGACUCCUACGGGAGGCAGCAGUGGGGAAUUUUCCGCAAUGGGCGAAAGCCUGACGGAGCAAGACCGCGUGAGGGAGGAAGGCUCUUGGGUUGUAAACCUCUUUUCUCAGGGAAGAAGCUCUGACGGUACCUGAGGAAUCAGCCUCGGCUAACUCCGUGCCAGCAGCCGCGGUAAUACGGAGGAGGCAAGCGUUAUACGGAAUUAUUGGGCGUAAAGCGUCCGCAGGUGGCGAUUCAAGUCUGCUGUCAAAGCACGGGGCUUAACUCCGUAAAGGCAGUGGAAACUGAAUAGCUAGAGUGCCGUAGGGGUAGAGGGAAUUCCCGGUGUAGCGGUGAAAUGCGUAGAGAUCGGGAAGAACAUCGGUGGCGAAAGCGCUCUACUGGACGGCAACUGACACUCAGGGACGAAAGCUAGGGGAGCGAAUGGGAUUAGAUACCCC